rnacentral:rRNA from 1 species
GGCCUACGGGGGGCAGCAGUCGAGAAUCUUCGGCAAUGGGCGCAAGCCUGACCGAGCGACGCCGCGUGGAGGACGAAGGCCUUCGGGUUGUAAACUCCUGUCGAGGGGGAAGAAGGCCCCGCAAGGGGCUUGACUGAUCCCUGGAGGAAGCACGGGCUAAGUUCGUGCCAGCAGCCGCGGUAAGACGAACCGUGCGAACGUUAUUCGGAAUCACUGGGCUUAAAGCGCGUGUAGGCGGGACGGAACGUCGGUAGCUGAAAGCCCCCGGCUCAACCGGGGAAGGGGCGCCGAUACGACCGCCCUCGAGGAACGUAGGGGGACCUGGAACUUCCGGUGGAGCGGUGAAAUGCGUUGAGAUCGGAAGGAACGCCCGUGGCGAAAGCGAGGUCCUGGACGUUUACUGACGCUGAGACGCGAAAGCCAGGGGAGCGAACGGGAUUAGAUACCCUUGUAGUCGGU